rnacentral:rRNA from 1 species
UCUGGUCCUUGUGUGCCAGCCGCCGCGGUCCUCCGGCCGGUCCGGGCGUUCUCCGGCUUUCUUGGGUUUCCCGGGCGCGUCGGCCGGAGAUUAAGCGUGUUGUGAAAUGUAGAUGCUCAACAUCUGCACUGCAGCGCGAACUGGUUUCCUUGAGUACGCACAAAGUGGGCGGAAUUCGUGGUGUAGCGGUGAAAUGCUUAGAUAUCACGAAGAACUCCGAUUGCGAAGGCAGCUCACUGGAGCGCAACUGACGCUGAAGCUCGAAAGUGCGGGUAUCGAACAGG